rnacentral:rRNA from 1 species
GUGGGGAAUCUUGCGCAAUGGGCGAAAGCCUGACGCAGCCAUGCCGCGUGAAUGAUGAAGGUCUUAGGAUUGUAAAAUUCUUUCACCGGGGACGAUAAUGACGGUACCCGGAGAAGAAGCUCCGGCUAACUUCGUGCCAGCAGCCGCGGUAAUACGAAGGGGGCUAGCGUUGCUCGGAAUUACUGGGCGUAAAGGGCGCGUAGGCGGACAGCUUAGUCAGAGGUGAAAGCCCAGGGCUCAACCUUGGAAUUGCCUUUGAUACUGGCUGUCUUGAGUACGGGAGAGGUGAGUGGAACUCCGAGUGUAGAGGUGAAAUUCGUAGAUAUUCGGAAGAACACCAGUGGCGAAGGCGACUCACUGGCCCAAUACUGACGCUGAGGCGCGAAAGCGUGGGGAGCAAACAGGAUUAGAUACCCGUGUAGUCC